rnacentral:piRNA from 1 species
UGCCACCACAAAAGGUCCUGAAAAGC